rnacentral:lncRNA from 1 species
UUCAGCAACUGAACUAAAGUCUUCAGGUUUGCACAGCAAGUAUUUUGGUUCUCUGUGCCAGCACUCUCCGGUUUUUAAAACCUUUCCUCCUUUUAGACAGGAUUGUAAAGACACCAAGCUUGAGCGGGUACUGAGUGAAGAAUGUUCUUUGGGAGCUAGGAAGAUGGUUAAGAAGUUAAUGUGCUUGGUGCAUUAGCACAAGGACCUGAGUCUGAUCUCCAGAACCCACAUAUAAAAAAAAAAAAAAUCAGGUUUCCCCGUCAGAUACCAGCUCUACAAGGGCCUGCACAGACCAGAAGAGGGCUGUAGAUUCCUUGGAACUGGAAUUACAGGCAGGUGUGAGCUACCCCUCAUGGGUGUUGGAAACUGAAUUCCGGUCCUACAGAACAGGUGUUCCCAACCUCUGAGCCACCUCUCCACCCCACAAUUACUGUCUUUAAGAUGUUACUGCUAUAAGUCCUUGUGGUUCUGAAUCUAGCACUGUCAUAGCUAAACAUCCCGAAGCGACAUUUCACCCUUUCCUUCCCCUAUCUGGUUAAACUACAACCAUGGAUUCUUCAGAUGCCUUCACUUGAUAUACAAAAUGUCUGUCUUCGUUAGCUUUAAUUGUCAACUUGGCCCAGCCUAGAGGAUCUGAGAGGAGAGCUUCAAUUAAGGAAAUGUCUACAUCAGAUGGGCAUGAUUGUAGGGGGUUAUCUUGACUGGUAUUUGAUAUGAAAGGGCACAUCCCACUGUGGGUGGCACCACUGACUAGUUAAGUGGUUUUGAAUCACCAAUCAUACGCUGGCAAGUGAGCCAGAAAACAGCAUCCUCCAUGACUCCUGCUCAACUUUCUCUCUGUGAAGUGAGUUCCUUGGUGCUUGGUCAGUGACAAUGCUGAACGAAUCAGCAAGAAGGCCUACCUUCAGUUUCCUGACUUGCCUUCCUGCAUUAACAGACCGUGACCUGGAAUUAUAAGCAGAAAUAAA